rnacentral:misc_RNA from 1 species
UCACUUCACCAGGCACGCAG